CAUCACUACGCUAGAUGCAUAUCAAUAAGCGGAGGAAAAGAAACUAACAAGGAUUCCCCUAGUAACGGCGAGUGAAGCGGGAAGAGCUCAAAUUUGAAAUCUUCAAGGUUUGACCUUGACGAAUUGUAGUUUAAAGAAGUGUUUUCGGUUAGAGGAGUAGUAAAAGUUCUUUGGAAUAGGACAUCAUAGAGGGUGAGAAUCCCGUAUUUGACUAUUCUUUCUAGCUUUGUGAUACACUUUCAAAGAGUCGGAUUGUUUGGGAAUGCAGUCCAAAAUGGGUGGUAAAUUUCAUCUAAAGCUAAAUAUUGGCGAGAGACCGAUAGCGAACAAGUACCGUGAGGGAAAGAUGAAAAGAACUUUGAAAAGAGAGUUAAACAGUACGUGAAAUUGUCAAAAGGGAAGCGUUUGACACCAGUGUUGUUUUUCCGAAAAUCAAUUAAAAAUUGAUUCAUGCCAGGUUAUUGACCUUAUCAGCUUGCAAUUUGGUUUUGGGUACUCUUCUUGAUGCACUUUUCGGUUAACAAGUCAACAUCAAUUUCCUUUGCUGUAAAAAGGUAAGAGGAAGGUGGCUUCAAUUUCGGUUGAAGUGUUUAUAGCCUUUUAUCUCUGCAGUCGGGGAGAUUGAGGUCUGCAGCGUAGAUCCUUCGGGGCUAGAUACAUUUGUGCUAAGUUAUAGCUUUUCAUAGACAACUUGUUGACUAUGUUUAGUCAUGUAGCUUACUCGUAAGUGCUAUUUUACCUACGCUUAGGAUGUUGACACACGCGCGUGCUCG
rnacentral:rRNA from 1 species